CUACGGGAGGCACCAGUGGGGAAUAUUGGGCAAUGGGCGCAAGCCUGACCCAGCAACGCCGCGUGAGGGAAGAAUGUCUUCGGAUUGUAAACCUCUGUCCUUGGGGACGAAAAAAAUGACGGUACCCAAGGAGGAAGCUCCGGCUAACUACGUGCCAGCAGCCGCGGUAAUACGUAGGGAGCAAGCGUUGUCCGGAAUUAUUGGGCGUAAAGGGUGCGUAGGCGGCGCUGUAAGUCAGAUGUGAAAUCCCCAGGCUUAACUUGGGAGUUGCAAUUGAAACUGCAGUGCUUGAGUAAAGAAGAGGUAAGUGGAAUUCCUAGUGUAGCGGUGGAAUGCGUAGAUAUUAGGAGGAACACCAGUGGCGAAGGCGACUUACUGGUCUUUUACUGACGCUGAGGCACGAAAGCGUGGGGAGCAAACAGGAUUAGAUACCCGUGUAGUC
rnacentral:rRNA from 1 species